ACGCUCGACACCUACGGGAGACAGCAGUGGGGGAUAUUGCACAAUGGGGGAAACCCUGAUGCAGCAACGCCGCGUGAAGGUUGAAGGUUUUCGGAUUGUAAACUUCUGUUCUUAGUGACGAUAAUGACGGUAGCUAAGAAGAAAGCUCCGGCUAACUACGUGCUAGCAGCCGCGGUAAUCUGAGCGGGCUGGCAAGGC
rnacentral:rRNA from 1 species